UACGGAGGGUGCGAGCGUUGUCCGGAAUCACUGGGCGUAAAGGGCGCGUAGGUGGCGCGGGAAGUCAACGGUGAAAGUUCGGGGCUCAACCCUGAAUCGGCCGUCGAUACUCCCGGGCUCGAGCACUGUAGAGGCAGAUGGAAUUCCGGGUGUAGCGGUGGAAUGCGUAGAGAUCCGGAAGAACACCGGUGGCGAAGGCGGUCUGCUGGGCAGUUGGCUGACACUGGAGGCGCGACAGCGUGGGGAGCAAACAGG
rnacentral:rRNA from 1 species